AGUGAACGCUGGCGGUAGGCCUAACACAUGCAAGUCGAACGGCAGCACAGAGGAGCUUGCUCCUUGGGUGGCGAGUGGCGGACGGGUGAGGAAUACAUCGGAAUCUACUCUGUCGUGGGGGAUAACGUAGGGAAACUUACGCUAAUACCGCAUACGACCUACGGGUGAAAGCAGGGGACCUUCGGGCCUUGCGCGAUUGAAUGAGCCGAUGUCGGAUUAGCUAGUUGGCGGGGUAAAGGCCCACCAAGGCGACGGUCCGUAGCUGGUCUGAGAGGAUGAGCAGCCACCCUGGAACUGGUACACGGUCCAGACUCCUACGGGAGGCAGCAGGGGGGAAUAUUGGACAAUGGGCGCAAGCCUGAUCCAGCCAUACCGCGUGGGUGAAGAAGGCCUUCGGGUUGUAAAGCCCUUUUGUUGGAAAGAAAUCCAGCUGGCUAAUACCCGGUUGGGAUGACGGUACCCAAAGAAUAAGCACCGGCUAACUUCGUGCCAGCAGCCGCCGUAA
rnacentral:rRNA from 1 species